rnacentral:misc_RNA from 1 species
AAGUCGUAACAAGGUCUCCGUAGGUGAACCUGCGGAGGGAUCAUUACCAGAAGCCGCGUCGGCCGCGAGGCCGGCGCCUUCGCCCCACCCUUUGUGAAUCGAACGCGAUUUCCCCGGGGGACCCCGCCCCCCGCGCGAGGGCGGACCCCCGACGGACCCCCCCAACUCUUGAUGUACCUGCCGUCCGAGUCAUAUACGAAUACGAACAAAACUUUCAACAACGGAUCUCUUGGCUCUG